rnacentral:rRNA from 1 species
GAUGAACGCUGGCGGCGUGCCUAAUACAUGCAAGUCGAGCGAACGGACGAGAAGCUUGCUUCUCUGAUGUUAGCGGCGGACGGGUGAGUAACACGUGGAUAACCUACCUAUAAGACUGGGAUAACUUCGGGAAACCGGAGCUGAUACCGGAUAAUAUUUUGAACCGCAUGGUUCAAAAGUAAAAGACGGUCUUGCUGUCACUUAUAGAUGGAUCCGCGCUGCAUUAGCUAGUUGGUAAGGUAACGGCUUACCAAGGCAACGAUGCAUAGCCGACCUGAGAGGGUGAUCGGCCACACUGGAACUGAGACACGGUCCAGACUCCUACGGGAGGCAGCAGUAGGGAAUCUUCCGCAAUGGGCGAAAGCCUGACGGAGCAACGCCGCGUGAGUGAUGAAGGUCUUCGGAUCGUAAAACUCUGUUAUUAGGGAAGAACAUAUGUGUAAGUAACUGUGCACAUCUUGACGGUACCUAAUCAGAAAGCCACGGCUAACUACGUG